rnacentral:rRNA from 1 species
UACGAAGGGGCUAGCGUUGCUCGGAAUCACUGGGCGUAAAGCGCACGUAGGCGGCUUACUAAGUCAGGGGUGAAAUCCUGGAGCUCAACUCCAGAACUGCCUUUGAUGCUGGUGAGCUUGAGUCCGGAAGAGGUGAGUGGAACUGCGAGUGUAGAGGUGAAAUUCGUAGAUAUUCGCAAGAACACCAGUGGCGAAGGCGGCUCACUGGUCCAAACUGACGCUGAGGGCGAAAGCGUGGGGAGCGAACGGG